rnacentral:rRNA from 1 species
GACGAACGCUGGCGGCGUGCUUAACACAUGCAAGUCGAACGGUAAGGCCCUUCGGGGCACACGAGUGGCGAACGGGUGAGUAACACGUGGGUGAUCUGCCUUGCACUUCGGGAUAAGCCUGGGAAACUGGGUCUAAUACCGGAUAGGACCACUGCCUGCAUGGGUGGUGGUGGAAAGCUUUUGCGGUGUGGGAUGGGCCCGCGGCCUAUCAGCUUGUUGGUGGGGUGAUGGCCUACCAAGGCGACGACGGGUAGCCGGCCUGAGAGGGUGACCGGCCACAGUGGGACUGAGGUACGGGCCAGACUCCUACGGGAGGCAGCAGGGGGGAAUAUUGCACAAUGGGCGCAAGCCUGAUGCAGCGACGCCGCGUGAGGGAUGGCGGCCUUCGGGUUGGAAACCUCUUUCAGCACCGACGAAGAGCAAGUGACGGUAGGUGCAGAAGAAGGACCGGCCAACUACGUGCCAGCCGCCGCGGUAA